UUUUCCGAAGACUAGAAGUAGCCCAAGCUUGAGAGUGGAAAAGACAAUGGAGUUUUGGGUGAAGAUUUUCAGCUUUGUUCUGAUCACUGUCACAGCAUCCUGGGGACAAGUUGUGCUCACCCAAUCUCCAGAAUCCAUGGCUGCAUCUCAAGGGGAGGAGGUCACCAUCUCUUGCAUCUCAAGUGUAGGCACCAGUUACUUGCAUUGGUACCAACAGAAGCCAAAAGCUUCCCCUAAACUCCUAAUUUAUGAAGUAUCCAAACUGGCUUCUGGAGUCCCUGCUCGCUUUAGUGGCAGGAGGUCUGGGAGUUCUUACUCUCUCACAAUCAGCAGCAUGCAGGCUGAAGAUGCUGCCACUUACUACUGCCAGCAGGGAACUAGUUUCCCAUUCACACAGUGUUACAGACAGGAACAAAAACCCUUUAUCGAACUAAUUAAUGUUCAGCUGCUUCCUCCUAGAGAUGAAAUAUGUCCAAGGGUUUUAGUGAUGUGUUGCAGAAUGUCUCAGAUUUUCUUCAGGGCCACUAGGUAUAUUGUGAUCACCCAGUCUGCACUCUCCAUCCUUGUCACUCUUGAACAGUCAGCUUUCUUCUCUUGCAGGUGUAGCAAGAGUCUGCUACACAAUGACUUACUUGCAAUGAUUUCUGCACAGGUGCAGAUUGAGAACCUGAGAGCAGGAGUGGUGGAUGGGUUGUCACUCCCUGCAAUGCUGAUAGUGGUGCUAUAG